UACGAAGGGGGCUAGCGUUGUUCGGAUUUACUGGGCGUAAAGCGCACGUAGGCGGAUUGUUAAGUCAGGGGUGAAAUCCUGGAGCUCAACUCCAGAACUGCCUUUGAUACUGGCAAUCUUGAGUCCGGAAGAGGCGAGUGGAAUUCCACGUGUAGCGGUGAAAUGCGUAGAUAUGUGGAGGAACACCGAUGGCGAAGGCAGCCCCCUGGGCCAAUACUGACGCUCAUGCACGAAAGCGUGGGGAGCAAACAGG
rnacentral:rRNA from 1 species